AUGGUCAGUCGUGUCCGUGCAUACCAUAGGUCCUCUGCUCCCUACGAUUAUUUCUACCAAGCUUGGAGAUGCCCAGAUCCAGAUGUGCAGUCAGUGAGAAAGAGAGAGGUAACUGUGGAGUCGAUCUCGCAGCGGCGGCUCCGCCUGUCGGGCUCCUCCCAGGGCUCGUUCAUCCUGCCGGCCACCGGCAACCUGCUCGCCGGUGAGUAUGUGCAGCGGCCCGAAGAGGCGCCUGCGCUUGCAGGGGAACGCGCCGGAUCUCGCAGGGCAGAUGAGGUACUUGGGCAUGGGAUGAGAAUCACAAUUGUUGUGGAUUUACAAGAUGAUAGUGCAGAUGGAGAAUAUCUUGUUAUUUGGCUGUUACUAUCCAUAAUUUUAUCUCUCGGCAACGAAUAUAUUAGAUCAAGCAUCAUAUCAUGUACACGAUAAGAUUUUGAUCUUCUCGUCAUUGAUGCCUACCGGUUGGAUCAUGCUUUUGUUUAUGAGCUGAUUGAAGUAACUCUCUCCUAGCUCAAAUGGGCCAACUUCUUGUUUACAUGAUACACUCAGCUAUCCAUCUCCAUAUCAGUUGGUCUCUCUUAAUUUUGUAAUCUUUUGGAAAUAUGCUUGCAUAUAAUAAAUGAUGCAAAGGUAUAUCAUACAACAACACAAUCUUUUGUCUUCGGCAAGUUAGGGUAGACUAGAGAUAGAACACAAUAUGUGUCACAUACAUCGCAGCAACAGGAAUUAACAAAGAAAUGGUAAAUUAAGCUCUUGACUUGUAGAUUAUGUUAAGUGAUGAUCUAGAGUCAACCUUCUUUUACUACAUUAGUUCUGAUCUACCUUGUCAUCUAUAGGAUUAGUUAUUAUAUCUAAGUAUGUUUUCAGAAUAUUAGAGGAUUAAGCAAGGUCACUUGAUAUGUAAAUGGAUAGUUGGAUGAUUUGUUUAUCAUGAAAAACAAGAGAUUAGCCCACUUGAGCUCGGUGAUAGUGUUACUCAAUGAGAUCAUAAAUAGAAGCAUGAUUGACUGAUAGACAUCAAUGUUGUUGAAGGCAUGGAAAAAUCUUAUCGUAUACAUGAUAUGAUGAUUGUUCCCAUAUGUUUUUGCCAAGUGAAGAAAACCACUUGCAUGGCAUGCUGAAGAUCAUCCAUCCGAAAGAGCGCGGCAGACAUGACCACCACCACCAACAACAACAACAACAACAAGGUCCAAGUAGGCUCUCUUGCAAUAUCCAUGUGCUAUUGUCGUUCCAGUGUCGCUUAUGUUGAACGCUCGUCUUCUACAUGUGUUAGAUUUAGAAAUAUUGCCUGAAUGCUUCCAUUCUUGCCAACUUAGGCAGUGACACUCAAGAAGACAGGAACACUUUGCCAUGGUGUUUGAUUCUUCUUCUGUGGCAACAUGAAGCUCUCAUUGUAAUUGUACCCACUUAUGCCGGAAUACUGUUAUCACUUCCGUCAGAUUCAAGUACCAGUGUACCACCAAGUUUCUGUGGCGUCCCCUGAAUUUUGCUAAUGACGAACUUUCUUCCCCAUUUCUUUCUUUUGUAAGGAAAAGUUAUAUACUUGUGAUGUAUGACUAGCUGGUCAAUUUGCCUGCUUUGAUUAUCCAUUCUGUUUCUUUGUUC
rnacentral:rRNA from 1 species